GACGAACGCUGGCGGCGUGCCUAAUACAUGCAAGUUGAGCGCUGAAGGUUGGUACUUGUACCGACUGGAUGAGCAGCGAACGGGUGAGUAACGCGUGGGGAAUCUGCCUUUGAGCGGGGGACAACAUUUGGAAACGAAUGCUAAUACCGCAUAAAAACUUUAAACACAAGUUUUAAGUUUGAAAGAUGCAAUUGCAUCACUCAAAGAUGAUCCCGCGGUGUAUUAGCUAGUUGGUGAGGUAAAGGCUCACCAGGGCGAUGAUACAUAGCCGACCUGAGAGGGUGAUCGGCCACAUUGGGACUGAGACACGGCCCAAACUCCUACGGGAGGCAGCAGUAGGGAAUCUUCGGCAAUGGACGAAAGUCUGACCGAGCAACGCCGCGUGAGUGAAGAAGGUUUUCGGAUCGUAAAACUCUGUUGGUAGAGAAGAACGUUGGUGAGAGUGGAAAGCUCAUCAAGUGACGGUAACUACCCAGAAAGGGACGGCUAACUACGUGCCAGCAGCCGCGGUAA
rnacentral:rRNA from 1 species